GCUUUACUGCGAUCCUCUUCACCUGAUCAGAUUGAUCUUCAUCCUCUCCCAGAUCCUCAUCGCCAGAUGCCCUAGAUUGGAGGUCCUCAUCCACAAAAUCGAGCUCAUCAAUCUUGUCCUCGUCGGUGGUAGUAGUGCCCAAAACAAUAUCGCUGUCGUCAUCUGAAUCAGAGACAAGAAUGUUGCCUAGGGAUUUAGGAUACA
rnacentral:misc_RNA from 1 species